GACGAACGCUGGCGGCGUGCUUAACACAUGCAAGUCGAACGGAAAGGCCCUGCUUUUGUGGGGUGCUCGAGUGGCGAACGGGUGAGUAACACGUGAGUAACCUGCCCUUGACUUUGGGAUAACUUCAGGAAACUGGGGCUAAUACCGGAUAUGAGCUCCUGCUGCAUGGUGGGGGUUGGAAAGUUUCGGCGGUUGUGGAUGGACUCGCGGCUUAUGAGCUUGUUGGGGGGGUAGUGGCUUACCAAGGCUUUGACGGGUAGCCUGCCUGAGAGGGUUGCCGGCCACAUUGGGACUGAGAUACGGACCAGAAGCCUACGGGCGGCAGCAGUGGGGAAUAUUGCAGAAUGGGCGGAAGCCUGAUGCAGCAACGCCGCGUGCGGGAUGACGGCCUUCGGGUUGUAAACCGCUUCCGCCUGUGACGAAGCGUGAGUGACGGUAAUGGGUAAAGAAGCACCGGCUAACUACGUG
rnacentral:rRNA from 1 species